AGAAAGAUUUUACAACGCACUUCUUUUCUCUACUGAUCUUCAUACAUUCUUAAUAGGCUGCGAGUCUUGAAAAGCUAUGUCAAACAAGAAGCGAAAAUAUUCAUGAAAAAGAAUCGAAGAAAGUUGGUCUCUGGCAAAGGAGGAAGCUGCCAAGUCUAAAGCAGCAAAGGAUGUUAUGAAAGUUUUGACACUGAAGAGCGACCCAGAUUUGGUUUUUGGAGGGAUCACAAUUGUCUCCAGAAUAUUGGGAACAAUAGCAAGAGGUUUUGUUCUGGAUAAAAUGACUAACACAAUCCCCAAUGCUUUUAAGUUCUUGCUGAAUGGAAGCUACCUGUCUAUGACAAUACCAUGGGUAUAACCUUGGUGACUGCAACUACACGUCGUAAUUCAUUAAAUAAUUUGGAUUCCAAAAUUCACCACCACAACCUCCUCAACAACAUAAUAGCGAAGGCAUGGCUUUAUUCAAAUGUCAAGAAAUUCAAGAUGACGUUUGUUUUGCAGAAAUGAUAUUUUGUGUGUUGUUGAUGAUGCUUCUUCUCUUCACUUGGUAUGUGACGAAGUGCAUUUUCAGAGCAAGUAGGUUACAGCUAAUCAACCAUAAAAGAUAAAG